rnacentral:lncRNA from 1 species
AAAAAAAAAUUAAAUUCCUAGCCAGGUCUUCCUAUUGGGUGAGGAGGCCCUUCCAAAGUUCCAGCGAAUUCCUUAGUCUGACAACUUUUCUCAAUUCAGAAAGAUGUGUUUGGUAACAUAUAUUAAAAGGCAGAAAUAUGCAAAUGCAUAAACAAUAGAAUUUGACAUAAUUAUGUGAUAAAGUGAAAUGCUCCUGCAGUUAGUUAUUGAACAUGAAGGACCUCUCUAAUUCUUCAGAGAAACUGUGAGAUAAUCUCUACCAUUUAUGCUUAGCAAGGAGCCAUGCUGCAGAGGAAAAGUAGAAAUACACACGAGUGACAAAAGCAAAAAAAUAUAUAUAUGAAAAACUCUGAAACCACCCUCAAUGAAAAGUAAUAUGUCUGUAUUUAAAGAGUAGGUAAAUCAUAUAGUGAAUUUAGAAGGUAAAAAACGAGGUCUAUAAUUACAUGAGUAUAUAGAAAAUGUUAAGUGUUUUCGUGAAAAGGUAUAUAAACAAUAAUGAAUAAUCAUUUCACAUUGAAAAUAAUUUAAUUUUAAAAGGAGAUAGUACAAAUAACAAAAAAAAAAGUCGAAGUACGGUAAUAGUAGAAAUUUCAAAUAUUUUAGGAAUGUCUUUCUCCAGAGUAGCAUGUUGUUUAGAAACUAAAUUUCCACAGUAGAUUUCAUAGCUCCUGAACAUGAAUUAAAACUUUGAUAUUAGCUGCAGAAAUGUACAUUAGUUUGUGGGGAGGGGAUAAAGAAAAUAAUGUGCCAACCUUCCAACAAUUUCCCCAAACAGAUUUUUGCAUCUUGGUCAUUACACUUACUUUCAAGAUUCUUUUCUUGGUUUAAACAUGUAAUCUUGUCUCUUUGCUCACCUGCUCACUCUUCAAGCAAGCAUUAUUUUCCAAGGAAUUUUUUCUUAAUUUUUAAAAUUUAACAAGUUUAACUACAAUUAAUAAAGUACUCCCGGCACAAGGACUCUGAAACAUUGUUUGGGUCUUGGAAAAGUUUGAAACUUCCAAUUCAUUAGGACUUUGAGUAACUAUUUUGUACCUAAGAAUGAGAAUUGAUGGAGAGAGUGGUACUAAGCACAUAAUUUUAUGAAAUAUGAUGAAAACAUGAGAGUUUUGUUAUGACGCACAUAACAAUAAAGAACCUGUUUCUUUUUAGCAGGCUCCUAAAAAGUACUUCCCUUAUAAUUAUUAAAUAAAAACACUCACUUAUUCAGUACUCAGCUAGCUUUUAAGAUCUGAAUAACAGAAGUACACAGUGAGAGAGGUACUUACAUGGUUUCCUUGGAUACUGGAUGAUGCCAUUCAGGUCUAUGUUUUUAUCUGAAAAUGGUGCCCUGUGGAGAAACGAGGCUUGGUGAGUGGCUGUUUAUACAUAGUAAGUAAAUAGGAACUUUGUUUAUUUUACAAAGCAUUUUUUAUUUUGACCCAGCUUUCCUUUUCUCAUCACACCCAACUCCUGUAAACAGCAAUAAUAUGGUAGAACAGGUACUCUGUACAACUCUUUUUAACUCCACUUAAGAAAUCAUAAUUAUUAAGGCAGAAGCUCAGAAUGCUUUGCCUUAACCAAAAGAUAAGAGAACUCAAGCUUUAGCCAGUUUCUAAACAUGAAGGGUUUCCAUAGACCUUAGCUGCCAUUUUACAUGUUCCAGUGUCAUCCUAGAUUCCCAAUAGUUUUAGUGCUAUGAGCAUACAAUUUUGACAUUCAGUCCCUCAGAACUACACACAUUCUAAUUUUGGUAGUAUGAAUAAUCUCUCCUAUGUGAUAAGUUAUUUAACCUUCUAAUAUUUCUUAGAAUCGAAAAGAACAAAUGAGCUGCAGCAAAGAAUGGCAAAUAACUUUUAUGCUUAACACAAUUUAAUAACCUGAAAUGAAGUAAGUAUGUGCUAUGUUUCCAUUAAAAAGUUUCCAGCCACAAUUAAUUGAACGAAAACUUGUCUUGUUCCAAGAUUAUUCUUGGAAAUGUAAUUUUAAAAUCUGCUUGAAAUGAGGAAACUUACUUUUUUAUACCAUAUGAAAGCAAUUUCAUUUUUUAGGAAUGAUUUUUGGAUAGACUUCCGAUUGGAUAUUUUCCAUUGGAACUAGCAGCAUAGGGGGUCGGGAGGGGGGAGGGGAGGGAAGCAAUUCUGUGUUCUUUUGCCAGCACUGACAAAGGUCUGGUUGUCAGUGAUACCUUUACAGCUAAAUUUACUCCAGAGUGACAGAAACAGGUGCACCUCGGCCUGCCAGACACUUGUGCAGAGAGAUCACGCAUCUCACGGCUUGACGAUCAAGGGGGCAAAGCCUCGGUCUUCAUAGAAAAGGAGAGGAGGCAAACGCAGCCCAAACUGGGGGGUUUCUCUUCAAAGCCAGCUGGUCUGGCUUUAUUCUACAGGAAUUUUUUUACCUGUCAGGGUUUGGACAACAAAGCCCUCAGCAGGUGCUGACGGGUACAACUUCCUGGAGAAGCAGAAAGGCACUGAUUUUUUUUCUAAUUAGACUUUAAGCAUGUUGACUAGUAAACUAUAAGUAACAAUGAUCACGUGGAAGUUGUUUAAUGAGUUGUUUCCAGGGAAGGCACUAGUGGCUCAUUUUUUCAGUCUACCCGAGGUCCCUGUACUUGAAUGUUUGAGAAGCACUUUGUUUCUUUUAAAGAUUUAUUUUACUUGGAUUUUAAUUUUUAUCUUUAUUUUUAGAGAAAACAUCUUGCUCUGUUGCUCAGGCUGGAGCGCAAUGGUGCCAUCGUAGCUUACUGUAACCUUGAACGUCUGUGCUCAAGCAAUCUUCCUGCCUCAGCCUCCUGAGUAGCUGGGACUACAGGUAUGCAUCACAAUGCCCAGCGAAUUAAAAACAACCUUUUUUUUUUUUUUUUUAAGAGAUGGGGUCUCACUCUGUCACCUAAAUUGGAGAGCAGUGGCACUGUCAUAGCUCACUGUGGCCUUGAAGUUCUGGGCUGAAGCAAUCCUUCUGCCUCAGCUUCCUGAGUGGCUGGGACUACAGGCAUGAACCACUACAUUCGGCUAAUUUUAAUUUUUUUUUGUAGAGACAGGGUCUUGUUCUAUUGUCCAAGCUGGUCUUGAAUUCCUGACCUCAAGCAAUCCUCCUGCCUCUGCCUCCCAAAGCACUGGGAUUAUUACAGGUAUGAGCCACCGCACUGGGCCGUCAUGCUUACUCUUCGGAGAGAGAAGUGAAGUAUCUGAACGCCUCAGCCUGAGAAUGGGUCAUUUGCAAAGUAAAUAAAGGCAAUGCCAAACGUCAGUACAACAAGCAAUUGAACAGAAUGAUUGCAAACUGCUAAUGAAGGAGAAGGCAAGGUGCGGUUAGGAUGAACUGUAGAAGGACCCGUCCCCUAGAGCUCAUUGAGCAUCCACCCUGCUGUCCGGCUGUCCUCUCCAUAGGGGGCUCGAUGGUCUUUGCCGACUUGAGGAAAUAGGUCACUGUAUUGCAGCAGAUCCUUGGUCGUGGGGCUGGGUUGGUCAUUGCCACUAUUUUAUGGGAUGGGGAAUUUGGAAGAUUAUGAAGUGUCAGCUGGUUGCCCUUGGACAUGCAGUGAGAGGGAGGAUUCUGUUUUGCUGGAAUUUAUAGUUUUUCUUUCUUUCUUUUUUUUUUUUUUUGAGACAGAGUCUCGCUCUGUCGCCCAGGCUGGAGUGUGCAGUGGCUCGAUCUCGGCUCACUUCAAGCUCCGCCUCCCGGGUUCACGCCUUUCUCC